rnacentral:lncRNA from 1 species
AAACCAACCAAAGCUGAAGCCCUAGCCACUUCUUCACGCUCAUGCUAGACGACCUGAAGGGGGAAGGGGGAAGGCAAAGGAAGAGGCCACCGGAGGAGAAGAGGACCGGGACACUACCGGUGCUAGGAAAGAACUGACUACAGCCGCAACUGCCUACUAUACCUCAUCUGCACCUGGCGUAGCCACUUCGUCAACAAUGAAGGAUCCAUGGAUGCUCAUCAAUCCACAAGUCCUCCUGGGGCUCUGUGAUGAAUACAUCUUUGCCCCGCUAUCACACACAAACCUCCCUCCUCUCUUCUCCCUCACACAUGGCUCUCUGCCAUCUUUUGCUGGUUCACGAUUUAACCUUGUUUCAUUAGAAAUCCUUGUCAACUCGUAUAACCUUUUAUCUGACUCUUAUGCUCAAAUAUUGUAUUGUUAUUAGGUCUUUUACAAAUAGUUUUAUAAUAUAGUGUAUUGUUCUUAGUAUAUACUCCCUC